rnacentral:rRNA from 1 species
GUCUACAGCCAUACCACCCUGAACGCGCCCGAUCUUGUCUGAUCUCAGAAG